CCGCCGAUAGCUCAGAAAGUAGAGCACCUGACUCUUAAUCAGGGGGUCGCACGGUUCAAUCCCUGCUCGGCGGACCA
rnacentral:tRNA from 6 species